GACAAGGUGGCCGAGUGGUUAAGGCGAUGGACUACUAAUCCGUUGUAUUCUGUAUGCGUGGGUUCGAGUCCCACCCUCGUCA